rnacentral:misc_RNA from 1 species
AACGCACAUUGCGCCCGCUGGUAUUCCAGCGGGCAUGCCCGUUCGAGCGUCAUUUCAAUCCCUUCCCGGAAGGACUCUUCUAAAUUUUAGUGGGGUCCGCGGGGCGUUGGUACUGGGCGUCACCUUUUUUUGGAGGCGGCCGGAGCCGAAAUGAAGCGGCGGACGCGCGGCGGCCCCUAGCGCAGUAGAAUAACCUUCUCGCUCAGGAGACCCGCAGCGGCGGACCACAGCCCUAAACACAAAACUAUAUGAAAACUUGACCUCGAAUCGGGUAGGACUACCCGCUGAACUUAA